ACGAACGCUGGCGGCACGCUUAACACAUGCAAGUCGAACGAGAGAAGAGAAGCUUGCUUUUCUGAUCUAGUGGCGGACGGGUGAGUAACACGUGAGCAAUCUGCCUUUCAGAGGGGGAUACCGAUUGGAAACGAUCGUUAAUACCGCAUAACAUAAUUGAACCGCAUGAUUUGAUUAUCAAAGAUUUAUCGCUGAAAGAUGAGCUCGCGUCUGAUUAGCUAGUUGGUAAGGUAACGGCUUACCAAGGCGACGAUCAGUAGCCGGACUGAGAGGUUGAUCGGCCACAUUGGGACUGAGACACGGCCCAGACUCCUACGGGAGGCAGCAGUGGGGAAUAUUGCACAAUGGAGGAAACUCUGAUGCAGCGAUGCCGCGUGAGGGAAGAAGGUUUUAGGAUUGUAAACCUCUGUCUUCAGGGACGAAAAAUGACGGUACCUGAGGAGGAAGCUCCGGCUAACUACGUGCCAGCAGCCGCGGUAAUACGUAGGGAGCGAGCGUUGUCCGGAAUUACUGGGUGGAAAGGGAGCGUAGGCGGGAUCGCAAGUCAGAUGUGAAAACUAUGGGCUUAACCCAUAAACUGCAUUUGAAACUGUGGUUCUUGAGUGAAGUAGAGGUAAGCGGAAUUCCUAGUGUAGCGGUGAAAUGCGUAGAUAUUAGGAGGAACAUCAGUGGCGAAGGCGGCUUACUGGGCUUUAACUGACGCUGAGGCUCGAAAGCGUGGGGAGCAAACAGGAUUAGAUACCCUGGUAGUCCACGCCGUAAACGAUGAUUACUAGGUGUGGGGGGACUGACCCCUUCCGUGCCGCAGCAAACGCAAUAAGUAAUCCACCUGGGGAGUACGACCGCAAGGUUGAAACUCAAAGGAAUUGACGGGGGCCCGCACAAGCAGUGGAGUAUGUGGAUUAAUUCGAAGCAACGCGAAGAACCUUACCAGGUCUUGACAUCGUAUGCAUAGCUCAGAGAUGAGUGAAAUCUCUUCGGAGACAUAUAGACAGGUGGUGCAUGGUUGUCGUCAGCUCGUGUCGUGAGAUGUUGGGUUAAGUCCCGCAACGAGCGCAACCCUUACUGUUAGUUGCUACGCAAGAGCACUCUAGCAGGACUGCCGUUGACAAAACGGAGGAAGGUGGGGAUGACGUCAAAUCAUCAUGCCCCUUAUGACCUGGGCCUCACACGUACUACAAUGGCUGUCAACAGAGGGAAGCAAAGCCGCGAGGUGGAGCAAACCCCUAAAAGCAGUCUUAGUUCGGAUUGUAGGCUGCAACCCGCCUACAUGAAGUCGGAAUUGCUAGUAAUCGCAGAUCAGCAUGCUGCGGUGAAUACGUUCCCGGGCCUUGUACACACCGCCCGUCACGCCAUGGGAGUCGGUAACACCCGAAGCCUGUAGUCUAACCGCAAGGAGGACGCAGUCGAAGGUGGGAUUGAUGACUGGGGUG
rnacentral:rRNA from 1 species